GAGUUUGAUCAUGGCUCAGAUUGAACGCUGGCGGCAUGCCUUACACAUGCAAGUCGAACGGCAGCAUGAUCUAGCCUGCUAGAUUGAUGGCGAGUGGCGAACGGGUGAGUAAUACAUCGGAACGUGCCCUGUAGUGGGGGAUAGCUAGUCGAAAGAUUAGCCAAUACCGCAUACGACCUGAGGGUGAAAGUGGGGGACCGCAAGGCCUCAUGCUAUAGGAGCGGCCGAUGUCUGAUUAGCUAGUUGGUGGGGUAAAGGCCCACCAAGGCGACGAUCAGUAGCUGGUCUGAGAGGACGAUCAGCCACACUGGGGACUGAGACACGGCCCAGACUCCUACGGGAGGCAGCAGUGGGGAAUUUUGGACAAUGGGCGAAAGCCUGAUCCAGCAAUGCCGCGUGUGUG
rnacentral:rRNA from 1 species